rnacentral:rRNA from 1 species
AUACGGAGGAUGCAAGCGUUAUCCGGAUUUAUUGGGUUUAAAGGGUGCGUAGGCUGUUCGGAAAGUCAGGGGUGAAAGCCCGGCGCCUAACGCCGGAACUGCCUUUGAUACUUCCGAGCUGGAAUACGGAUGCCGUGGGAGGAAUGAGUAGUGUAGCGGUGAAAUGCAUAGAUAUUACUCAGAACACCGAUUGCGAAGGCAUCUCACGAAUCCGGCAUUGACGCUGAGGCACGAAAGCGUGGGGAUCAAACAGGAUUAGAUACCCUGGUAGUCCACGCAGUAAACGAUGAUGACUAACCGUCGGCGAUGCACAGUCGGUGGCCAAGCGAAAGCGAUAAGUCAUCCACCUGGGGAGUACGUUCGCAAGAAUGAAACUCAAAGGAAUUGACGGGG